rfam:Monoraphidium neglectum strain SAG 48.87 unplaced genomic scaffold scaffold02490, whole genome shotgun sequence.
GCCUAGAUAGCUCAGUUGGCAGAGCGCUCGACUGAAGAUCGAAAGGUCGCUGGUUCAAUCCCGGCUCUGGGCA